UGAUGAAUGAAAUAAAUAGCUAGUGUUCUAAUUGGUAGGAGUGGGUGAAGCUUAAUGUUGGUGGAACUGUUUUCAUGACAACUAAAAGUACACUAAGUAAGGAUCAGAACUCUUUCUUAUGCAGAUUAUGUCAGGAUGGAAAUGAACUGGGGUCAGAUAAGGAUGAAAACGGUGCUUUUUUAAUAGAUCGAGAUCCACAAUAUUUUGGGCCUGUGCUGAAUUUUCUCAGACAUGGUAAGCUAGUCCUUGAUAAGAAUACAAGUGAAGAAGGGGUUCUCGAAGAAGCAGAGUUCUACAGUAUAACAGAUUUGAUCCGAGUUCUGCGUGAGCGUAUAUUGAAGCGUGAUACCGUGAAUACUCCAACUGGAAAACAUGUUUACAGGGUUCUACAGUGUCAUGAAGAUGAGUUAACUCAGAUGGUUUCAACGAUGUCGGAUGGUUGGAAGUUUGAACAGUUGAUAAACAUUGGUUCCCAGUAUCAGUAUGGUAACGAGGAACAUGCAGAGUUCUUGUGUGUGGUCUCUAGAGAAUAUCCACAGACAAGUGCUGGUGAGCGAACGACUGAGCCAACUGACCGAGCCAAGGUGCUGCAACAACUUGGUUCAAGAAUGUGACGCAAAUCAUAAUAACUCGAGAUAUUACUUUAAAGGAGCUUUUAAUUCAUUUUCAUCGGCUUAAGUGUACUGUUGGGGUUAUAUAUCAAAAGCAUUUUUAUUUUUAAAAUAAGCGUGAUCUAAACGAACGGAUUAGAUAUAUAAUAUUUAUGUACAGUUCUGUUGCAAAGACCUUUCAGCAAAAUAAAUGUUCAGUUGGUAGUAUAAACAUUGAACAUUACUAUUGAAUUUUGAAAAAGGGUUAAGCUAUAAUUAUAUGUCAAUUUUGAGAGAAUUAUGCGAAGGAAUAUUAGCGAUUUUCAUGCCAACUCUCAGAGAAAAUAUCUCUUGGAAAUCGUUAUAAAAAAGAAUUUAAAAAAUGAAAAGGAGGUCAAUCUGACAAAUUUUUUAUACCUCUAAUAAAAGUCUUGAACACUCCCUUUAAAAUGGUGGUGUACGGCCAAUUCUUGUGAUCUGCUCUUGUUUUCAUUUUAUCCUGUAAACCCAAUGAUUUUAACAGUUAAGUACAAUCACAAUACAGUAUAUUUAAGUAUCCACAUAUCAUGCUUUUUAAACCUGUUUCUUCAUUUUAUGAGACAUUUAGCGUCAAAUCAUCGCUCGGCUUUUCUAUUUUAUAGCCAGUAUUUUUCAUAAUAAAAGAUUAUUUAAAAA